rnacentral:rRNA from 1 species
ACGAGACACGCUGGCGGCAUGCUUAACACAUGCAAGUCGAACGAGAAUCUGUGGAUCGAGGAUUCGUCCAAGAGAAGCAGAGGACAGUGGCGGACGGGUGAGUAACGCGUGAGGAACCUGUCCUUUCAGGAGGGGGACAACAGUUGGAAACGACUGCUAAUACCGCAUAACGCGUAGAGGUCGCAUGGUCCUUUACGCCAAAGAUUUAUCGCUGAAAGAUGGCCUCGCGUCUGAUUAGCUAGUUGGUGAGGUAACGGCCCACCAAGGCGACGAUCAGUAGCCGGACUGAGAGGUUGAACGGCCACAUUGGGACUGAGAUACGGCCCAGACUCCUACGGGAGGCAGCAGUGGGGAAUAUUGGGCAAUGGGCGCAAGCCUGACCCAGCAAUGCCGCGUGAAGGAAGAAGGCUUUCGGGUUGUAAACUUCUUUUGUCAGGGACGAGUAGAAGACGGUACCUGACGAAUAAGCCACGGCUAACUACGUG